UACGUAGGGUGCAAGCGUUGUCCGGAAUUAUUGGGCGUAAAGAGCUCGUAGGCGGUGUGUCGCGUCGGCCGUGAAAACCUGCAGCUUAACUGUGGGCUUGCGGUCGAUACGGGCAUCACUGGAGUUCGGCAGGGGAGACUGGAAUUCCUGGUGUAGCGGUGAAAUGCGCAGAUAUCAGGAGGAACACCGGUGGCGAAGGCGGCAUCCUGGACCGAAAUUGACGCUGAGGCGCGAAAGCCAGGGGAGCAAACGGG
rnacentral:rRNA from 1 species